UAAGUUAUUAAGGGCGCACGGUGGAUGCCUUGGCACUAGAAGCCGAUGAAGGACGUUACUAACGACGAUAUGCUUUGGGGAGCUGUAAGUAAGCUUUGAUCCAGAGAUUUCCGAAUGGGGAAACCCAGCAUGAGUUAUGUCAUGUUAUCGAUAUGUGAAUACAUAGCAUAUCAGAAGGCACACCCGGAGAACUGAAACAUCUUAGUACCCGGAGGAAGAGAAAGAAAAUUCGAUUCCCUUAGUAGCGGCGAGCGAAACGGGAAGAGCCCAAACCAAAAAGCUUGCUUGUUGGGGUUGUAGGACACUCUAUACGGAGUUACAAAGGACGACAUUAGACGAAUCAUCUGGAAAGAUGAAUCAAAGAAGGUAAUAAUCCUGUAGUCGAAAUGUUGUCUCUCUUGAGUGGAUCCUGAGUACGACGGAGCACGUGAAAUUCCGUCGGAAUCUGGGAGGACCAUCUCCUAAGGCUAAAUACUCUCUAGUGACCGAUAGUGAACCAGUACCGUGAGGGAAAGGUGAAAGCACCCCGGAAGGAGAGUGAAAUAGAACCUGAAACCGUGUGCUUACAAGUAGUCAGAGCCCGUUAAUGGGUGAUGGCGUGCCUUUUGUAGAAUGAACCGGCGAGUUACGAUUUGAUGCAAGGUUAAGCAGUAAAUGUGGAGCCGUAGCGAAAGCGAGUCUGAAUAGGGCGUUUAGUAUUGGUCGUAGACCCGAAACCAGGUGAUCUACCCUUGGUCAGGUUGAAGUUCAGGUAACACUGAAUGGAGGACCGAACCGACUUACGUUGAAAAGUGAGCGGAUGAACUGAGGGUAGCGGAGAAAUUCCAAUCGAACCUGGAGAUAGCUGGUUCUCUCCGAAAUAGCUUUAGGGCUAGCCUCAAGUGAUGAUUAUUGGAGGUAGAGCACUGUUUGGACGAGGGGCCCUCUCGGGUUACCGAAUUCAGACAAACUCCGAAUGCCAAUUAAUUUAACUUGGGAGUCAGAACAUGGGUGAUAAGGUCCGUGUUCGAAAGGGAAACAGCCCAGACCACCAGCUAAGGUCCCAAAUAUAUGUUAAGUGGAAAGGAUGUGGCGUUGCCCAGACAACUAGGAUGUUGGCUUAGAAGCAGCCAUCAUUUAAAGAGUGCGUAAUAGCUCACUAGUCGAGUGACACUGCGCCGAAAAUGUACCGGGGCUAAACAUAUUACCGAAGCUGUGGAUUGUCCUUUGGACAAUGGUAGGAGAGCGUUCUAAGGGCGUUGAAGCAUGAUCGUAAGGACAUGUGGAGCGCUUAGAAGUGAGAAUGCCGGUGUGAGUAGCGAAAGACGGGUGAGAAUCCCGUCCACCGAUUGACUAAGGUUUCCAGAGGAAGGCUCGUCCGCUCUGGGUUAGUCGGGUCCUAAGCUGAGGCCGACAGGCGUAGGCGAUGGAUAACAGGUUGAUAUUCCUGUACCACCUAUAAUCGUUUUAAUCGAUGGGGGACGCAGUAGGAUAGGCGAAGCGUGCGAUUGGAUUGCACGUCUAAGCAGUAAGGCUGAGUAUUAGGCAAAUCCGGUACUCGUUAAGGCUGAGCUGUGAUGGGGAGAAGACAUUGAGUCUUCGAGUCGUUGAUUUCACACUGCCGAGAAAGCCUCUAGAUAGAAAAUAGGUGCCCGUACCGCAAACCGACACAGGUAGUCAAGAUGAGAAUUCUAAGGUGAGCGAGCGAACUCUCGUUAAGGAACUCGGCAAAUGACCCGUAACUUCGGGAGAAGGGUGCUCUUUAGGGUUAACGCCCAGAAGAGCCGCAGUGAAUAGGCCCAAGCGACUGUUUAUCAAAACACAGGUCUCUGCUAAACCGUAAGGUGAUGUAUAGGGGCUGACGCCUGCCCGGUGCUGGAAGGUUAAGAGGAGUGGUUAGCUUCUGCGAAGCUACGAAUCGAAGCCCCAGUAAACGGCGGCCGUAACUAUAACGGUCCUAAGGUAGCGAAAUUCCUUGUCGGGUAAGUUCCGACCCGCACGAAAGGCGUAACGAUUUGGGCACUGUCUCAACGAGAGACUCGGUGAAAUCAUAGUACCUGUGAAGAUGCAGGUUACCCGCGACAGGACGGAAAGACCCCGUGGAGCUUUACUGUAGCCUGAUAUUGAAAUUCGGCACAGCUUGUACAGGAUAGGUAGGAGCCUUUGAAACGUGAGCGCUAGCUUACGUGGAGGCGCUGGUGGGAUACUACCCUAGCUGUGUUGGCUUUCUAACCCGCACCACUUAUCGUGGUGGGAGACAGUGUCAGGCGGGCAGUUUGACUGGGGCGGUCGCCUCCUAAAGGUAACGGAGGCGCUCAAAGGUUCCCUCAGAAUGGUUGGAAAUCAUUCAUAGAGUGUAAAGGCAUAAGGGAGCUUGACUGCGAGACCUACAAGUCGAGCAGGGUCGAAAGACGGACUUAGUGAUCCGGUGGUUCCGCAUGGAAGGGCCAUCGCUCAACGGAUAAAAGCUACCCCGGGGAUAACAGGCUUAUCUCCCCAAGAGUUCACAUCGACGGGGAGGUUUGGCACCUCGAUGUCGGCUCAUCGCAUCCUGGGGCUGUAGUCGGUCCCAAGGGUUGGGCUGUUCGCCCAUUAAAGCGGUACGCGAGCUGGGUUCAGAACGUCGUGAGACAGUUCGGUCCCUAUCCGUCGUGGGCGUAGGAAAUUUGAGAGGAGCUGUCCUUAGUACGAGAGGACCGGGAUGGACAUACCUCUGGUGUACCAGUUGUCGUGCCAACGGCAUAGCUGGGUAGCUAUGUGUGGACGGGAUAAGUGCUGAAAGCAUCUAAGCAUGAAGCCCCCCUCAAGAUGAGAUUUCCCAACUUCGGUUAUAAGAUCCCUCAAAGAUGAUGAGGUUAAUAGGUUCGAGGUGGAAGCAUGGUGACAUGUGGAGCUGACGAAUACUAAUCGAUCGAAGACUUAAUCA
rnacentral:rRNA from 1 species